rnacentral:rRNA from 1 species
AUUGAACGCUGGCGGCAUGCCUAACACAUGCAAGUCGAACGAGUGGCGCACGGGUGCGUCAUGUCUGGGACACUGCCUUAUGGCUGGGGAUAACUACUGGAAACGGUAGCUAAUCCCGCAUACCUUUGGAUGUUCCCAGAUGGGAUUAGCCAUUAGGUGGGGUAAAGGCUCACCUAGGCGACGAUCCCUAGCUGGUCUGAGAGGGUGACCAGCCACACUGGAACUGAGACACGGUCCAGACUCCUACGGGAGGGAGCAGUAGGGAAUAGUGCGCAAUGGGCGCAAGCCUGAUGCAGCCAUGCCGCGUGUAUGAAGAAGGACUUCGGGUUGUAAAGUACUGUCAGCGGGGAGGCGUUACCCGCAGAAGAAGCACCGGCUAACUACGUGCCAGCAGCCGCGGUAAUUC